AGUAUGUUUUGCAGACAAGACCCAGAGAAGUCCAGACUGGACUUGUUGCAGACUGCAAAACUGCCAUUGGAAGGCCUCCGUCCCAGUCCUUCUACAGAGUAGUAGCCAGUGGGAUUCCCAGCCAUGGGUGAGGUGACAGCAGAGGAGGUGGAGAAGUUCCUGGACUCGAAUAUCGGCUUUGCCAAACAGUACUACAACCUCCACUACCGAGCCAAGCUCAUCUCUGACCUCCUUGGGGCCAAGGAGGCUGCCGUGGACUUCAGCAACUACCACUCCCCGAGCAGCGUGGAGGAGAGUGAAAUCAUCUUUGAUCUCCUGCGGGACUUUCAGGAGAAUUUACAGACAGAGAAAUGCAUCUUCAAUGUCAUGAAGAAGCUGUGCUUCCUCCUGCAGGCAGAUCGCAUGAGCCUGUUCAUGUACCGGACCCGCAACGGCAUCGCAGAGCUGGCCACCCGGCUUUUCAAUGUCCACAAAGAUGCUGUUCUCGAGGACUGCCUGGUGAUGCCCGACCAGGAGAUCGUCUUCCCUUUGGACAUGGGCAUUGUGGGCCAUGUCGCACACUCUAAGAAGAUUACUAACGUCCCCAACACAGAAGAGGAUGAACAUUUCUGUGACUUUGUGGACAUCCUCACAGAGUACAAGACCAAGAACAUCUUGGCUUCCCCCAUAAUGAAUGGGAAGGAUGUGGUGGCCAUAAUCAUGGCUGUGAAUAAAGUGGAUGGAUCCCACUUCACCAAGAGAGACGAAGAGAUUCUUCUCAAGUACCUCAAUUUUGCAAAUCUAAUCAUGAAGGUGUACCACCUGAGUUACCUGCACAACUGUGAAACUCGACGUGGCCAGAUACUGCUGUGGUCUGGGAGCAAAGUCUUUGAAGAACUUACGGACAUCGAACGACAGUUCCACAAAGCCCUGUACACAGUCCGCGCUUUCCUCAACUGUGACAGAUACUCUGUGGGUCUCUUAGACAUGACCAAGCAGAAGGAAUUUUUUGAUGUGUGGCCGGUUCUGAUGGGUGAAGUUCCACCUUACUCUGGUCCCAGGACUCCGGAUGGAAGAGAAAUUAACUUUUACAAGGUCAUUGACUACAUCCUGCAUGGCAAAGAAGACAUCAAAGUCAUCCCGAAUCCACCUCCUGACCAUUGGGCUUUAGUAAGUGGUCUCCCGGCUUAUGUUGCCCAGAAUGGCCUGAUUUGCAACAUCAUGAAUGCGCCUACGGAGGACUUUUUUGCAUUUCAGAAAGAACCUCUGGAUGAGUCUGGAUGGAUGAUUAAAAAUGUGCUUGCAAUGCCGAUUGUGAACAAGAAGGAAGAAAUUGUUGGAGUGGCCACAUUUUAUAAUCGUAAAGAUGGGAAGCCCUUUGAUGAAAUGGAUGAGACGCUCAUGGAGAAAACCAGAGAGGUGUAUGGGAAGGAGCCGUGGGAAUGUGAGGAAGAGGAGCUGGCUGAGAUCCUGGUGAGCUGAACCGGGGCAGCACAAGACCCGAUGUAUAACAAGUGCAAAGUGCUCCUGAGCAUGCAGGGGUUUCUCUUUGCAGAGCAUGUUCCCCAUCACUCUGUUCUGAUCCUUCCAGCAGACCCAGGAUGGGGACAGGGCUGGACAGGAGGUGGGCACCCAGAAACACUUCAUGUUUCCAAAUCAGUUGACUCUAUUCCUUAUACAGCAAGCGGAGCUGCCAGAUGCAGAUAAAUACGAAAUUCAUAAAUUUCACUUCAGUGACUUGCCCCUAACAGAACUGGAGCUGGUAAAAUGUGGAAUACAGAUGUAUUAUGAGCUCAAAGUGGUGGAUAAAUUUCACAUUCCACAAGAGGCCCUGGUACGGUUCAUGUACUCCCUGAGUAAGGGCUACCGCAAGAUCACCUACCACAACUGGCGGCACGGCUUCAACGUGGGGCAGACCAUGUUCUCCCUGCUGGUGACGGGAAAGCUGAAGCGCUACUUCACAGACCUAGAGGCCUUGGCCAUGGUCACAGCUGCUUUCUGCCAUGACAUUGACCACAGAGGCACCAAUAACCUCUACCAGAUGAAAUCCCAGAACCCACUGGCCAAGCUCCAUGGGUCCUCCAUCUUGGAAAGACACCACUUGGAGUUUGGCAAAACACUGCUCAGAGACGAGAGCCUGAAUAUCUUUCAAAACCUCAAUCGUCGACAGCAUGAGCAUGCCAUCCACAUGAUGGACAUUGCAAUCAUUGCCACAGACCUCGCCCUGUAUUUCAAGAAGAGGACGAUGUUCCAAAAGAUCGUGGAUCAGUCUAAGACAUAUGAGAGUGAACAGGAGUGGACGCAGUACAUGAUGCUGGAGCAGACACGGAAGGAAAUCGUUAUGGCCAUGAUGAUGACCGCCUGUGAUCUCUCAGCCAUCACCAAACCCUGGGAGGUGCAGAGCCAGGUAGCUCUGCUGGUGGCUGCCGAAUUCUGGGAACAAGGCGACCUGGAGCGCACGGUGCUGCAACAGAAUCCCAUUCCCAUGAUGGACAGAAACAAAGCAGAUGAACUCCCUAAGCUUCAAGUCGGCUUCAUUGACUUUGUUUGCACCUUCGUCUACAAGGAAUUCUCCCGUUUCCACGAGGAGAUCACCCCAAUGUUGGAUGGGAUCACCAACAAUCGCAAGGAGUGGAAGGCGCUUGCUGAUGAGUACGAUGCCAAGAUGAAGGUGCAGGAGGAGAAGAAGCAGAAACAGCAGUCGGCCAAGUCAGCAGCCGCAGGAAAUCAGCUAGGGGGAAACGCCAGCCCAGGGGGUGCAACUACAUCCAAGUCCUGCUGCAUCCAGUAACACCACUGGGGAUCUGCUGGCUGGACGGCACCACCCUUUCCUGGGAAGAGAUGACUCAAGCCAGUGGAAGACCACACACCUUGAGAAGUAAAAGAGUCAUAGGAUUUGAAAGCUGUUAGAGAAUUUAGCUUCCAGGACUGUUCAAUCUUUUGGCUUCCCUGGACCACAUUGGAAGAAGAAUUGUCUUGGGUCACACGUAAAAUACAGUAACACUAAUGAUAGCUGUUGAAUUAAAAAAAAAAAUCGUAAAAAAAAAAAAAUUUCAUAAUGUUUUAAGAAAGUUUAUGAAUUUGUGUUGGGCCGCAUUCAAAGCCAUCCUGGGCUGCAUGUGGCCCACGGGCCGUGGGUUGAACAAGCUUGGCUUAUACCUUAUCCAGUGGCUUUUAAACAUUCUUUCAGUCUUGAGAACUGCCUAUUGAGCUAAAACCAAUAUUCUAGCUUUCAUAGACAUCAAUUAAACAUUUAAUUACAUUUAAUUAAUGCCAGAUUCACUGGCUUGAAAAUUUUCAACCAUUUUCAAAAGUAGAGAAUUGUACGUUGAAUCCCCACAUACCCAUCACCCAGAUUCCAAUAUCAAGAUUUUGCUACAUGCAUUUCGUCUGUCCUUUUUACAUUUCCUUUUCAAUUUUUUUUUUCUUACCUCAAGUGUUUAAAGGCAAAUCCUGGCCAGGUGUGGUGGCUCACACCUGUAAUCCCAGCACUUCAGGAGGCUGAGGUGGGCAGACUGCAUGAGCCCAGGAGUUUGAGACCAGCCUGGGCAAAAUGGCAAAACCCUGUCUCUACAAAAAAUACAAAAAUUAGCACUCACCUGUAGUCUCAGCUACUUGGGAAGCAGAGGUGAGAGGAUCUCUUGAGACCAGGAGGCGGAAGUUGCAGUGAGCUGAGAUCAUGCUACUGCACUCCAGCUUGGGCGACCGAGCGAGACUCUGACUCAAACAAAAAAAAAAAGAAAAGGCAAAUCCCAAACAUAUCAUUUCACACCUCUACCAACUCAUCUUUAAAGAAAUAAGGAUGUUUUCUAACAUAACCGCAUCACUGGCCCAUGCAACCAAUGCCUGCCUAAUACCCAGCUGUGAUGUAUGCUUUGAUGGGCUGCACAGACCCCAAGCUUCAGCAAAAGGACUUGGGACCCCACCAGCUUUGAGUGCUGUUGGCAGACCCUUAGUAUCAGCCCCAUCAGGUGUUACUGCAGCCUUUCCCAGGGUGGCCUACACCCAAUGACUGAUCCAUGCCAGGUGGAGAGGCCUGCCCAUCUUGGGUGAGCAUGGGAUAACUGUGCAGGGCUGUUCUAGCUCCAGGACUCCUCGUGGGGUCCACUAAGGCUGUCACUGGGCUCACAUCACAACUCGACUUCUCCCUCUGCCCACUCCUAUUUCCUUCCCUUCCCCAAACAUCGGUCCCCAGGGCACUGCUUAAUAAGCAUCCUGCAGACUAAGUCCAUUUUAGAGUCUGCUUUCUGGGACACCCAACUUGUGAUGCGAGCCCUUAAUCAACCUUCCUUCAUUCUCACGAACGUUUUCAAUGGUUGGCUUGCCUGAAUCUGAUCCAAACAAUUUCACACAUUGAAUUUAGUUGUUUCUUCUUGUUGGUUUUUAGAAAAAAGAAGAUGUACUUUUUACUCUUGGAUUUUUCAUUGAUUUCACAGAGUAUAAAUUAAGUCAAAUUAUUCUCAAUUUCAGAACUUCUGUUUCUUAAAUUAGCAGGCAUUCUGUUGCUUUAAAAAGAUAGAUGUGGGCCGGGCACGGUGGCUCAUGCCUGUAAUUCCAGCACUUUGGGAGGCUGAGGUGGGUGGAUUUCCUGAGGUCAGGAGUUCAAGACCAGCCUGGCCAACAUGGUGAAACCCCAUCUCUACUAAAAAUACAAAAAUUAUCUGGGUGUGGUGGUGUGCACCUGUAAUCCCAGCUACUCAGGAGGCUGAGGCAGGAGAAUCGCUUGAACCUGGGAGGCGAAGGUUGCAGUGAGCUGAGAUCACGCCACUGCACUCCAGCCUGGGCGACAAGAGCAAGACUCCGUCUCAAAAAAAAAAAAAAAAAAAAAAAAGAUGUGGCAGAUAGAAUUUCUCUCUUUCUAUCUUUCAUGACAAGGUCUCACUCUGUCGCCCAAGCUGGAGUGCAGUGGUAUGAUCAUAGCUUACUGGAGCCCCAACUGCCCGGGCUCAAGCAAUCCUCCCAUCUCAGCUUACCAAGCAGCGGUGACCACAGGCAUGCACCACCAUGCCCAGCUAAUUUUUUAAAACCUAUCUUUGUAGACAUGGGGUCUCAUUCUGUUGCCCAGGCUGGCCUCAAACUCCUGACUUCAAGCAAUCCUCCUGCCUCAGCCUCCCAAAGGGUUGGGAUUACAGGCAUGAGCCACUGCACCUGGCCAGGACUUACUUCUUUUAAACCGAAUCUAAGAAUGUUCUGGCAAGUCUGCAAUACCUAGCAGAAUGCCACUGGCCUGGUCAGCAUUCAUACCAUAGUAACUGAUGUUGAAAACAGCACAAAUAAACCAGAAGUUGAAAAUGACAAUAACAUGCUAAAAAUUUGCAAGUCAGUUUGUUAACACUUGUCCAAAUCUUAAUUUUUUUUCAUUUUCUAUUGUUCCCCCCACCACCAGCUUUAUGGAGGUAUAAUUAGCAAAUAAAAAGUAUACAUAUUUAAGGUAUACACUGAUGUUUUGAUAUACAUUGUGAAAUGAUUGCCAUAAUUAAGCUAAUUAAUAUAUCCAUCACCUCACAUAGCUAUGGUUAAGUUUCUGAAGUCUCUUUUAAUAGACAAAGUGCUCCUUCCUUUUUUCCAAUGUCACCAACUUGCAGAAAUAGAGUCAGUUUUCCCACAUCCUGUAUUUAUCUGUUUGUUUCUUUGUGGCCUCAUGUAACACAUUCCUUUGUCUCAUUCUAAUAAAUGGACAUUAGCUCUA
rnacentral:sRNA from 1 species